GAGUAAUGUCUGGGAAACUGCCCGAUGGAGGGGGAUAACUACUGGAAACGGUAGCUAAUACCGCAUAACGUCGCAAGACCAAAGAGGGGGACCUUCGGGCCUCUUGCCAUCGGAUGUGCCCAGAUGGGAUUAGCUUGUUGGUGAGGUAACGGCUCACCAAGGCGACGAUCCCUAGCUGGUCUGAGAGGAUGACCAGCCACACUGGAACUGAGACACGGUCCAGACUCCUACGGGAGGCAGCAGUGGGGAAUAUUGCACAAUGGGCGCAAGCCUGAUGCAGCCAUGC
rnacentral:rRNA from 1 species